UAAAAAGCUAUGAAAAAGACGAGUAAAUAAUCUAUUUCUCUACAGUGAAUUAGUGUUAGUGCGAAACUAAUAGACCCUGGAUUAUUGAAAAACACUUUUAGCAGCUCACCGAAAUAACAAUUCUUAAAGUAGGUUGAGACGUCUCCGGCACGUUACCACACCGGUGGGGCAUGAUUGUGCUCCAUAAAGAGGUCUAUAUAAUUAGACAAUAUGGGUGGUACCGCGGAAAAAAGCCUUUCGUCCCUGGA
rnacentral:ncRNA from 1 species